ACUCCAAACUGUCCUCUCUGUUGUCUGACAAGGUCUUUGAAACAAACAAAUGACUGUGGCAGUUUCCCACUGAAAAGCUUUGCUUCCUUCAGAAGGAAUCCUUAGGGAACUCCUAAUCCUUCCCACCCACCUGGCAACUAAAAGGCUUCACAUGAAGCAAAACAGGGAUGAAUUUUCCAGUAUCAAGCAGGACACUAGGCACAUAUUCUGCUUCUCUGCCAGGGACUUGAUUGCCUGGAUCCAUGCGUCAGCCAUUCGCCGGAUCCGCAGUCUCAUCCACCGGAAUUCUUCAUGCUUUUUCAUCAUACUGUAGAGAAUAUUAAAAUCUGUACGAAUUUCUGCCUAGAAACAGAAAUUUAAUAAAAAUGAAUGGAAGAUAA